rnacentral:rRNA from 1 species
ACAGGGAUUGCCUCAGUAACGGCGAGUGAAGCGGCAAAAGCUCAAAUUUGAAAUCUAGCACCUUCAGUGUUCGAGUUGUAAUUUGAAGAAGGUAACUUUGGUUUUGGCUCUUGUCUAUGUUCCUUGGAACAGGACGUCACAGAGGGUGAGAAUCCCGUGCGAUGAGAUGCCCAAUUCCAUGUAAAGUGCUUUCGAAGAGUCGAGUUGUUUGGGAAUGCAGCUCUAAGUGGGUGGUAAAUUCCAUCUAAAGCUAAAUAUUGGCGAGAGACCGAUAGCGAACAAGUACAGUGAUGGAAAGAUGAAAAGAACUUUGAAAAGAGAGUGAAAAAGUACGUGAAAUUGUUGAAAGGGAAGGGCUUGAGAUCAGACUUGGUAUUUUGCGUUCCCUUCCUUUUUGGUUGGGUUCCUCGCAGUUUACUGGGCCAGCAUCGGUUUGGAUGGUAGGAUAAUGACAUUGGAAUGUAGCUUUACUUCGGUGAAGUGUUAUAGACUUUGUUGAUACUGCCUAUCUAGACCGAGGACUGCGUCUUUGACUAGGAUGCUGGCGUAAUGAUCUUAAGCCGCCC